rnacentral:rRNA from 1 species
AUUGAACGGCGGAGGCAGGGCUAACACAUGCAAGUAGAACGAGUGGCGGACGGGUGAGGAAUGUCUGGGAAACCGCCCGAUGGAGGGGGAUAACACCUGGAAACGGUAGCGAAUACCGCAUACUAUCGGAUGUGCCCAGAUGGGAUUAGCUAGUAGGUGGGGUAACGGCACACCGAGGCGACGACCCCCAGCUGGACUGAGAGGAUGAUCAGCAACACUGGAACUGAGACACGGUCCAGACUCCUACGGGAGGCAGCAGUGGGGAAUAUUGCACAAUGGGCGCAAGCCUGAUGCAGCCAUGCCGCGUGUAUGAAGAAGGCCUUCGGGUUGUAAAGUACUUUCAGCACGGAGGCGUUACUCGCAGAUGAAGCCCCGGCUAACUCCGUGCCAGCAGCCGCGGUAAUUC